GAAAUGCGAUAAGUAAUGUGAAUUGCAGAAUUCAGUGAAUCAUCGAAUCUUUGAACGCACCUUGCGCUCCCUGGUAUUCCGGGGAGCAUGCCUGUUUGAGUGUCAUGGUAUCCUCAACCUUCAUAACUUUUUGUUAUCGAAGGCUUGGACUUGGAGGUUGUGCUGGCUUCUAGUCGAGUAGGCUCCUCUUAAAUGUAUUAGCGUGAGUGUAACGGAUCGCUUCGGUGUGAUAAUUAUCUGCGUCGUGGUCGUGAAGUAACAUAAGCUUGCGCUUCUAACCGUCCUUCAGUUGGACAACUUACUUUGACAUCUGACCUCAAAUCAGGUAGGACUACCCGCUGAACUUAAGC
rnacentral:misc_RNA from 1 species